rnacentral:rRNA from 1 species
GACGAACGCUGGCGGCGUGCCUAAUACAUGCAAGUUGAGCGCUGAAGGUUGGUCCUUGUACCAACUGGAUGAGCAGCGAACGGGUGAGUAACGCGUGGGGAAUCUGCCUUUGAGCGGGGGACAACAUUUGGAAACGAAUGCUAAUACCGCAUAAAAACUUUAAACACAAGUUUUAAGUUUGAAAGAUGCAAUUGCAUCACUCAAAGAUGAUCCCGCGUUGUAUUAGCUAGUUGGUGAGGUAAAGGCUCACCAAGGCGAUGAUACAUAGCCGACCUGAGAGGGUGAUCGGCCACAUUGGGACUGAGACACGGCCCAAACUCCUACGGGAGGCAGCAGUAGGGAAUCUUCGGCAAUGGACGAAAGUCUGACCGAGCAACGCCGCGUGAGUGAAGAAGGUUUUCGGAUCAUAAAACUCUGUUGGUAGAGAAGAACGUUGGUGAGAGUGGAAAGCUCAUCAAGUGACGGUAACUACCCAGAAAGGGACGGCUAACUACGUG